rnacentral:lncRNA from 1 species
UGACAACAGAAACCAACCAGUCCACUGUAGGGUGAAGAAAAGGCCACCUCCAAAAAGAAAUGGGCAUGAGUUCAGCUCUCACAUCAACAAGCUGAGGGUGAAAGCGUCAGAGGCAGAUCAAGGCCUGGAAAACCGUGUACCAGGCAUGUGAAACCAGAGGAUAUCACAGGCUCUGAAUAAGUGGGAAAGAACAUUUAGAUAUUGGUAACAAAGAGUGGGAAGGCUGCACUCAGUCAGGAAACCUCAACACAUGCCAGUGCUGCU